AACAAGGUUUCCGUAGGUGAACCUGCGGAAGGAUCAUUAAUGGGUUCAUGGCCUCCGGGCCGCAAUCCCCACCCUUCGCAACCGCGGCCACGAUUCGGCGCAAGGGCGGGACUCCCUCUGUUCGCGGAGGGGCCCCGUCCGCCGGAAUCACGCAACCCUGCCUGAAAAAUACAGUCUGAGAAAAAUGAAAAAUUAGCGAAAACUUUCAACAACGGAUCUCUUGGUUCUGGCAACGAUGAAGAACGCAGCGAAAUGCGAUAAGUAAUGUGAAUUGCAGAAUUCAGUGAAUCAUCGAAUCUUUGAACGCACAUUGCGCCCCCUGGUAUUCCGGGGGGCACACCUGUUCGAGCGCCAUUUCAACCCUCGAGCCCUGCUCGGUGAUGGGCGACGCCUUAACUUACUAGGCGCGCCCGAAACUCGUUGGCGCCGUCGUCCGGCCCUGAGCGUAGCAAGAGAAAUCCCUCGCUCGGUGGACCGUCCGGCGGCCGCCCCGACCACUUUCACAAGGUUGGCCUCGGAUCAGGUGGGAAUACCCGCUGAACUUAAGCAUAUCAAUAAGCGGAGGAAAAGAAACCAACAGGGAUUGCCUCAGUAACGGCGAGUGAAGCGGCAACAGCUCAAAUUUGAAAUCUGGCUCCUUUGGCGCCCGAGUUGUAAUUUGUAGAGGAUGCUUCGGGUGAAGCCGCGGUCCAAGUCCCUUGGAACAGGACGUCAGAGAGGGUGAGAACCCCGUACCUGGCCGCCGGUGCCCCCCGCUGUGAAGCUCCUUCGACGAGUCGAGUUGUUUGGGAAUGCAGCUCUAAAUUGGUGGUAAAUUCCAUCUAAAGCUAAAUACCGGCCAGAGACCGAUAGCGCACAAGUAGAGUGAUCGAAAGAUGAAAAGCACUUUGAAAAGAGAGUUAAAAAGUACGUGAAAUUGUUGAAAGGGAAGCGCUUGCGGCCAGACUUGCCCGCGGAUGCUCAGCCCGCCCUCUGGCGGGUGCACUCUUCCGCGGUCAGGCCAGCAUCGGUUUGGGCGGUCGGACAAAGGCGCCGGGAACGUAGCCCCCCUCGGGGGGUGUUAUAGCCCGGCGUGCAAUGCGACCAGCCCGGACCGAGGUUCGCGCUCUGCUAGGAUGCUGGCGUAAUGGCCGUAAGCGGCC
rnacentral:rRNA from 1 species